UACGUAGGGUGCGAGCGUUAAUCGGAAUUACUGGGCGUAAAGCGUGCGUAGGUGGUUCGUUGUGUCUGUGGUGAAAGCCCCGGGCUUAACCUGGGAAUGGCCAUGGAAACUGGCGAGCUGGAGUGUGGCAGAGGGGGGUGGAAUUCCACGUGUAGCAGUGAAAUGCGUAGAGAUGUGGAGGAACACCGAUGGCGAAGGCAGCCUCCUGGGCCAGCACUGACGCUCAUGCACGAAAGCGUGGGGAGCAAACAGG
rnacentral:rRNA from 1 species